ACGAACGCUGGCGGCGUGCCUAACACAUGCAAGUCGAACGGGGAUUUGUUUCGGCAGAAUCCUAGUGGCGAACGGGUGAGUAACGCGUAGGCAACCUGCCCUCCGGCCGGGGACAACACUCCGAAAGGGGUGCUAAUACCGGAUACGAAGUCUGUGCCGCAUGGUACGGAUUUGAAAGAUGGCCUCUAUUUAUAAGCUAUCGCCGGGGGAUGGGCCUGCGUCCGAUUAGCUGGUUGGUGGGGUAACGGCUCACCAAGGCGACGAUCAGUAGCCGGUCUGAGAGGAUGAACGGCCACAUUGGGACUGAGACACGGCCCAAACUCCUACGGGAGGCAGCAGUGGGGAAUCUUCCGCAAUGGGCGCAAGCCUGACGGAGCAACGCCGCGUGAGUUGAAGAAGGUUUUCGGAUCGUAAAGCUCUGUUGUCAGGGACGAGAGACUUGAUCAGGAAAUGGGUCAAGGAGGACGGUACCUGACGAGAAAGCCACGGCUAACUACGUGCCAGCCGCCGC
rnacentral:rRNA from 1 species